rnacentral:rRNA from 1 species
AACGAACGCUGGCGGCAGGCUUAACACAUGCAAGUCGAGCGCCCCGCAAGGGGAGCGGCAGACGGGUGAGUAACGCGUGGGAAUCUACCCAUCUCUACGGAAUAACGCAUGGAAACGUGUGCUAAUACCGUAUACGUCCUUCGGGAGAAAGAUUUAUCGGAGAUGGAUGAGCCCGCGUGGGAUUAGCUAGUUGGAGGGGUAAAGGCCUACCAAGGCGACGAUCCAUAGCUGGGCUGAGAGGAUGAUCAGCCACACUGGGACUGGGACACGGCCCAGACUCCUACGGGAGGCAGCAGUGGGGAAUAUUGGACAAUGGGCGCAAGCUUGAUCCAGCCAUGCCGCGUGAGUGAUGAAGGCCCGAGGGUUGUAAAGCUCUUUCACCGGUGAAGAUAAUGACGGUAACCGGAGAAGAAGCCCCGGCUAACUUCGUGCCAGCCGCCGCCGUAAGAC